AUUGAACGCUGGCGGCAGGCCUAACACAUGCAAGUCGGGCGAGCGGCGGACGGGUGUGUAAUGUCUGGGGAACUGCCUGUUGGAGGGGGGGACAUCCUGUAAACGGUAGCUAAUACAGCAUACGACAACAUAUGCCCAGAUGGGAUUAGCUAGGAGGUGGGGUAACGGCUUACCUAGGCGACGAUCCCUAGAUGGUCUGAGAGGAUGACCAGCCACACUGGAACUGAGACACGGUCCAGACUCCUACGGGAGGCAGCAGUGGGGAAUAUUGCACAAUGGGCGCAAGCCUGAUGCAGCCAUGCCGCGUGUGUGAAGAAGGCCUUCGGGUUGUAAAGCACUUUCAGUGGGGAGGCGUUACCCGCAGAAGAAGCACCGGCUAACUCCGUGCCAGCAGCCGCGGUAAUAC
rnacentral:rRNA from 1 species